rnacentral:lncRNA from 1 species
UAUUGCCAAAUCACUAUAUAUUAAUAUUUAAUUUUCACUCAAAUUUUUAUCAACUCGGCAACAUUUUAUUCCAAUAGUUAGCAACCUUUGAAAGUUGUGUAUGUGAUGUUAGGAAUAAUAUACGAGAUCAAUCUUCUAAUACAAAGCACACACACAAAAUUAUAUGAUGUGAAAAUCCACGUCCCAACUUGUAUUAUUAAUCAAAACCGUUAUCAAUAAUACAAUCCAACAAACUAGGAUACUCAAGCCUACCAAUACUCAAGCAUACCUAUCAAACAAUAUGACUAUGUAUAUAUAGCCAUCAAACUUAGACAAAUCAGAAUCUAACUCUAAUAUACCUAAUCAUAAUCCUAAUCCAAUUCUAAUUUCUAACUCAAAUCAGAAUCCUAUUCCUAUUGGGUUGAUACCCAACAAUCCUCCCCUUCAACCCAAUACGGUUUCAAAUUCUUUUAACGAUCACCAUGAAGACGUUGACGUCCAUCCGCCAAUGCCUCCCCUUGAGUAACAACCUCUCCAUCUAGCAUAAAAAGAUUUCUCUUAUCCUUCCAACCUUUGAGUAUCACCAAUUCUUGUUUGGUGACCUCCAAACAACCGUUCUUCAUCAUAACAGUACAUCCCAAAUCAACUAAUUUACCCAAUGAAAUUAGAUUUCGAUUUAGCUCCGGUACAUACCUUACUUGAGCUAAUUUUCGAAUACGACCAUUAUGAAGUUUCAUUGUUAUCUCACCAACGCCGGUAACUUUUAUCGUUUUACCAUUUGGUAAAGUUAUCAUCUUUCCCUCACAAUCCUUAUAGGACGAGAACCACUCCCUCCUAGCACAUAUGUGAUGAGAACAUCCCGAGUCAAGUAUCCAUUCUUCUUUUGAUCCCUUGUCUUCUUGAACCAAAAGAGCAUCAUCAACCGUCUCAACAAGCGAAGCACUACCCUUCUCUCGAAUUUUCUUUAACUCCUUUAAGUCUUCUUUUGCUUUCGGACAUAUGAAUUGAUGGUGGCCCAAUUCUUCACAAUAAAAGCACUUGAUAUUAGGGUUAUGUUUCUUAUCAAACUUCUUUUUCCUGUUAUAUGCAUCCAUCAUAAGUGCACUUCCGUCCAAUGUAUCACUCGAUCCUUGCUUCAUCAAUCUUUCAGCUUCAAGAAUAACAACAGUAGUCUCAUCCAAAGUUAACUUCGUUUUUCCAACCAUUAAAGAAGUAAUCACAUUAUUAUACUUAUAUGGUAGGGAAACAAGUAAAAGAAUGGCUUUGUCCUCAUCCUUUAAUUUUUCAUCCAAAUUAUUCAGCUGGUUGAUCAACCCAUUAAAACGAUUUAGAUGAUCUCUCAAAUCUCCGUUUUCUUCCAUCUUAAGUCCGAACAAAUCUUUCUUGAGAAACAACUUGUUGGCCAAAGACUUUGAGUGAUAUGUCUUUGUCAACUUCUCCCACAAAUUUUUAGGGUUAUUCUCCUCGAGAACAUCAUACUUGAUUUCCGGUGCAAGAGCCAACCGGAUAGUCGACGCAGCACGUAAUUUCAUAUCUUCCCACUUUGUAUUAUCCACAUCAGCGGGCUUCUUAUCCUCGAGAGUUGCAUAUAAUCCUCGUUGAAUUAACAAAUCUUUCACUGUGCUCUGCCAUAAAGUAAAAUUGUUUCUGCCAUCAAACAAUUCAAUCUCGAAUUUUCCUCCCAUCUUAUCCAUCAUGAACCUGGCUCUGAUACCACUUGUUAGGAAUAAUAUACGAGAUCAAUCUUCUAAUACAAAGCACACACACAAAAUUAUAUGACGUGAAAAUCCACGUCCCAACUUGUAUUAUUAAUCAAAACCGUUAUCAAUAAUACAAUCCAACAAACUAGGAUACUCAAGCCUACCAAUACUCAAGCAUACCUAUCAAACAAUAUGACUAUGUAUAUAUAGCCAUCAAACUUAGACAAAUCAGAAUCUAACUCUAAUAUACCUAAUCAUAAUCCUAAUCCAAUUCUAAUUUCUAACUCAAAUCAGAAUCCUAUUCCUAUUGGGUUGAUACCCAACAUGUGAUUCCCUCAAUUAAAUUACAAAUGACUCAUGAACUAAGUAGGCAAUCUCUUGGUAACAAUACAACUUCAAUAAGUUGACAAUCAAGCUUGCCAUGCUCCAUAAGAUUUGACAACCUCUUGGAAAUGCUCUUAUGACUUCAUAAAAUUAAAC